UACGAAGGGGGCUAGCGGUGCUCGGAAUCACUGGGCGUAAAGCGCACGUAGGCGGAUUGCUAAGUCAGGGGUGAAAUCCUGGAGCUCAACUCCAGAACUGCCUUUGAUACUGGUGAUCUUGAGUCCGGGAGAGGUGAGUGGAACUGCGAGUGUAGAGGUGAAAUUCGUAGAUAUUCGCAAGAACACCAGUGGCGAAGGCGGCUCACUGGCCCGGUACUGACGCUGAGGUGCGAAAGCGUGGGGAGCAAACAGG
rnacentral:rRNA from 1 species